rnacentral:lncRNA from 1 species
UUUCUAAUAAAAUAUUGAAAUGAGAGGAACAAGCUAUCCAAAUAUCAGUUUAAUCGAACAAGAAACGAAACAGGGAUCACAAUUUGAAGUUGACAGUUGUGGCUGGAAUUUUAGGUGCGAAAAUCUGCUCUUGUUUUCUCUCUGGCUGUUGAAACUCUCUUUUUGUGGAUGUGAAAUAAUACCUAAUGGUCCUAUGUGCAAAAGUGGAUUGGUCUAAAUUGGACUUCAUUUAUCUACAUAAGAAGGGAAAAAGACCCGUGACCUAACAAGAAAGUGUUAGUAAACAAUAAUAGGUAAUACAAUUGAGCAAGCAAGAACAAGACUAAAUAGGAAGAAGUGUUAGAUUGUUUUAUAGAGUCCAUAAGCAUUUGAGAAGCUUUAAGGAAAGCUAGACUUGAUCAAUAUGAGGUAAUAGCAAACGCAAGCUUUAAUUUGGAUAGGGAUGGAGUUCAUUUGAACUUCAAAUAUGCUACCGAGUACACAUGUAAACAAAAGAUAGGAAAAAUUAGCAUAAUCUUAAUCUCAACAAAAUUAACACAUGAGAUAAAUACUUCAACUAUUUUCUAAACUUAAACAAGACGCUAACCAAUCCAACAGUUUACACACCGUCAUUCAAGCAUAUAUUGGUAAGAAAGUAUUUGAAAUAAACUUCUCACAUAAUAUGUAAUUAGGAUAAAGUUGCGAGGCACUUAGCUAUCCAAACACAUCUACACCUUUUCAAUGAGUUACCAAAUAUAGAAAGUACCAAAAAGAAGCAACACAUCCUAAGUAGAUACUUGUAAGACUGCAAAUUAUAUUCCUUUUUUAUCAAAUAUUUCAUGAUCCAAUAUGUAGAAAAUCUCACACGAAUAAGUGUAAAUAUGGACUCUUUGAACUCAAUUUUUCAGAAUGUGUUAAGAGUACUUCAAUUAGCAAAUGAUCAAUUGAGUUUAGACGAGACAUAAUAUGACUCAACAAAUUUUAACACGCGAAUAUAGAUGAGUUUCUAAUACAUAUCCAUCGGUUAAAAUAAGGCAUCAAGUUAUCCAAAUGACUGGGAGUCAAAACAAUAAAGAAACAUGAAGCUAUAACUUGGUAUUAACCACUCUUUGAAUUUUCAAUCCAAUUUGGAGCUAUAAAUUCACGCAGUAUCACUUCCCCAUUACUGAAAAUUAAUAAAAGGACUAGAUGCUUAUCACAUAUUCAUGGACAUAUUGUGAAUAAAUAAGCUAAAAACAAAGCAAAUAAGAUGAGGUUCUACAUUACUUCGUACACAAAAGUUGUAUAUCCGAGUUAAGACAAACUUAAAAAUUGAACUCAACUUUUAGUAGACAAAAUGUAAUGAAGGAAACGAAAAGGAGGCAGGAUAAUAGCUAACUUAUUAUAAACACAAAGCUGCCACAUAUUUGACAAUAAAAAAUCAAGACGAGGUAAUAGGACCAAAUUUUGAUAUAGAAACAACAAUAACAUCAAGACGGGAUAGAAAAUCACUUUUACAGUAAUUUAUGAAACCUUAUAUAACAACCUUGAUUGUGAAAAUUUUUUUUUUGACAAUGCAUUUUGAUUUUUCUAUCAUUUUUUGAGGUUUUUACAUGAUAUUUAUAAAAUAUGUGGAUGAUUGUCAUAGUCCUCGAUGCAUUAUGGAGUGAUUUGGAAGAGCUUGAGACUAGUUGAGGCUUUAAAAGUCAUUAGCUUAACUUCAAUCAAUAUGUUGUAUUUGGAGCACCAGAAGGUGAUUUGAAAAUUUUUAUUAGGUUUGGAAUGUCAAUUUUGACAGCGAAGUUGGUUCUGGUUUGAAAUCUUUAUUUUGUAUUUUGAUCCUUCAUAUAGAAAAUAGUGAAAUAAGCUAAACCGGGGUCAUGAGGGAUAAUUUGUUAUAAACAAUCUAUUUUUUAAAAAUUCAAUAUUGUCAUUGAGUCCAGAAUUUCCAAAUUAUCCCAUUAGCAUAUAUGAAUUAGUUCUGUAAGGUUCCGAAGGAAUCUCGAGGGCCCGUUCGAAGAAUUUCAAAACUGGCAAACUCAACAUUUUUGCUAAUAUCUAGUGCCUCAAGCAUCCUUCUUUGUGAAUGUGGGCCCCUAGAUACAAAUGAAAAGUAGAAUAAUUUCUUUCAUCAUGAUCGCGAAGAGUAAUUAAGUCGGGUCUAGUUUUCCUCUUUCAUCACAAAUGCGACAAAGUUGUUGUGAUCGCGAUGUGUCCUGAUCUUCAGCAUUCGUGAACGCGGGAGGCUAACCACAAAUGUGAUGGUAAAUUAUUUGUCCAAAUCAACGUUGACCCUCGCGAUUAUGAGGCUUGAGCCGCAAUCAAGAGGUACUGUUCACAGAACAGUAUAAAUAGUUUAUAUUUACGUUUUUUAUUUUUGGACCUUGAGGCUUUGAAAAAGGUGAUUCUUAUGGUUUUCUCCACCAUUAUUUCUUGGGUAAGAUCUAAAUUCAUAUUUCCAUUAUUUUCUAGUGAUUAUAUCUUCAAAAAAUACCUUGUCAUCUUGAUUUUAAAUGAAUUUUGGAGGAUUUUGCCGGUAAGACUUUAUAAUAAUUUUUCUUUGAUUUGAACAUCAGUUUCAACUUGUUUUCGCAUGAAUUUUCAAUUGUAAACUAAUAUGAUCAUGGGGAACAUAUUCUUAAAAUAGAAUUCUAAUUUUACCCCUUUCAUUUGUGAACUCAUUUUUCAAAUCCAUUUUGGACUCAAUUCUAAUAUAGUUAAUAUGAGUAUCAUUGACAUUGUUUUACUACUUAAAUCACAUAUUUGAUAGUUUUAACUUGUGCCAAGUCCAUUCACAAGGGAAAGGCUCUACGCUAAAGGUUCUAGACUUGAAUUUUGGCACUUCAAGGUAGAUUACGGUUUAGCUUCCUUCAGAAUAGGUCGGAUAGUUAAUGAAAAUGUAAAGCAUGCUAUAGGUUAGCGAGUUUAGUCAUGAGAUUUAUAUUUUAGUAUUUUUAUUUUAUCACAUGCUCGUGCGAGGCUUAUUUGUACAUUAUUGUUGACUUAGGAGAAUAUAAUUAUUGUGAUGCCUAGUGGGGGCUUUAUAUGAUAUUCUAGGUCUUACAUGUACACUGACUUGCCAUAUUUAUUUUUGUGUCACAUGACUGGGAGCUUGACUUAUUAUUAUAGGCCUUGCAUGAGUAUUUAUUGCUUUGAAAAUGAUAUUAUUGAUGUCUUACAUGACUAAUCAUUCUAAUGGUACCGAGUGAGCACUAAUAAUAUGAAUUAUUGACAUCUUGAGUUGAAUUUGAGAUCAUUUAUACUUGUAUUGAGUUGAUAAUUAUCUUUAUACUGAUUGAUUGUGCAUAUUACAUCCUUAUUUCAUCUAUACAUAUUCAUGUGAUUGGUGUCACUGAAAAUAUUAAUUUUUGAUAGAAAAUGAGACACUUUAUAAAAUGCCUAUCGGGGGAUGUGCCAUUAGGAUUGAUUUAGUAAUACUAACUUUUGCUAAAAAUUGAGAUACUUUAUAAAAUGUCUAUACCGAGAGACGUGUUGGAAGGGUUGAUUGAGAUAUGAUAUUGAGAUUAUGAUAAAGUAUAUGAAUUCCGAACCUCCAUGGGUCUUGUCUUGAAGAAUGAAGGCUUGGAAGGUGUAUAUGAAAGUUCCACCAUCAUUGCUUCAUUUCAUUACAUUGUAUGUAUUCCACUAUAUAUUAGUUGUUGCAUUUCUUAUAUACAUUACGUGUUUAGCUAUCCUUUUUGACUUAUUAUAUGUUAUAUAAUUGUUAGUGGAGACGGUGUGGGCUAUCAUUUGAGAACUUUUCUAUUUGCAGGUUACAUGCUCAUAACAUCUUUUAUUUUAUUUUAUCCUUUGCUUUGUUCAGUCGUCCUAUAAUACCUACUGAGUACAAGUGGAUCAUACUCAUUCCUACUUUGCACCUUUCGAUGCAGAUCCUAGUUGGACAAUGGCUCAUGGUAGCAAAGUUCGUGCUAUCAGAGUGACAUCUUGAGGUACUGGCGAGCUUUAGACUUUGGGGCAGAUUCUGGACCUCAUCUUAUCUUAGUUGCCAUUAUUUACCUUUUGAAGACAUGCUUAUGUAUUUUCAGUAUUAUAAGUUGUAUUAGAUGCUCUUUACAAUCAUGACACAUAUAUCUUGGAAAUUUUAUACAUUUGGUCCAAAUUCAUGUUAUUACAUGUUAUGGCCUGGGUUCGUUCUUGAAGUUUACAUUUAUGGGUUAAUUUUCUUAUUAUUGAUCUGUACUUAAUUUUGUAAAUUUUGGCUUACCUAAUAAGAUUGACCCAAAUAGGUGUCAUCAUGAGCUCAACUUUAGGGUAGUGAUAUCAUAUCAGUCAUAUAUUGAAAUGUCAAUUAAAAAAAGUAAAAUAAAGAAUAAAGGUUCACCUUGUGUUAGGUAGCAAACAUGAGGCUCUAACGUCAAGUUUUUCGGGACUCAGGACUCAAACUCAAAUAUGAUUCAAAGAGAAUUUGAAAACACGAAGAAAAGUAGUAGUGUAAUAGAAAGAAAUUAAUAAUAUAUGUAGUAUGAAAUGAUUUGUUAUUGUGACUUUGCUUGUGAUUUUUCCUCUUUUUCCCAAUCUCUACACUUG